rnacentral:tRNA from 1 species
GGACAUGUGGUAGAGUGGUUUAAUACGAUCGUCUUGAAAACGAUUACGAAUAGUCGUGAGUUCGAAUCUCACUGUGUCCG